GCUCAGAUUGAACGCUGGCGGCAGGCCUAACACAUGCAAGUCGAGCGGUAGAGAGAAGCUUGCUUCUCUUGAGAGCGGCGGACGGGUGAGUAAUGCCUAGGAAUCUGCCUGGUAGUGGGGGAUAACGUUCGGAAACGGACGCUAAUACCGCAUACGUCCUACGGGAGAAAGCAGGGGACCUUCGGGCCUUGCGCUAUCAGAUGAGCCUAGGUCGGAUUAGCUAGUUGGUGAGGUAAUGGCUCACCAAGGCGACGAUCCGUAACUGGUCUGAGAGGAUGAUCAGUCACACUGGAACUGAGACACGGUCCAGACUCCUACGGGAGGCAGCAGUGGGGAAUAUUGGACAAUGGGCGAAAGCCUGAUCCAGCCAUGCCGCGUGUGUGAAGAAGGUCUUCGGAUUGUAAAGCACUUUAAGUUGGGAGGAAGGGCAUUAACCUAAUACGUUAGUGUUUUGACGUUACCGACAGAAUAAGCACCGGCUAACUCUGUGCCAGCAGCCGCGGUAAUACAGAGGGUGCAAGCGUUAAUCGGAAUUACUGGGCGUAAAGCGCGCGUAGGUGGUUUGUUAAGUUGGAUGUGAAAUCCCCGGGCUCAACCUGGGAACUGCAUUCAAAACUGACUGACUAGAGUAUGGUAGAGGGUGGUGGAAUUUCCUGUGUAGCGGUGAAAUGCGUAGAUAUAGGAAGGAACACCAGUGGCGAAGGCGACCACCUGGACUAAUACUGACACUGAGGUGCGAAAGCGUGGGGAGCAAACAGGAUUAGAUACCCUGGUAGUCCACGCCGUAAACGAUGUCAACUAGCCGUUGGAAGCCUUGAGCUUUUAGUGGCGCAGCUAACGCAUUAAGU
rnacentral:rRNA from 1 species